rnacentral:rRNA from 1 species
AGAGUUUGAUCCUGGCUCAGAUUGAACGCUGGCGGCAGGCCUAACACAUGCAAGUCGAGCGGUAGCACAGAGAGCUUGCUCUCGGGUGACGAGCGGCGGACGGGUGAGUAAUGUCUGGGAAACUGCCUGAUGGAGGGGGAUAACUACUGGAAACGGUAGCUAAUACCGCAUAACGUCGCAAGACCAAAGUGGGGGACCUUCGGGCCUCAUGCCAUCAGAUGUGCCCAGAUGGGAUUAGCUAGUAGGUGGGGUAACGGCUCACCUAGGCGACGAUCCCUAGCUGGUCUGAGAGGAUGACCAGCCACACUGGAACUGAGACACGGUCCAGACUCCUACGGGAGGCAGCAGUGGGGAAUAUUGCACAAUGGGCGCAAGCCUGAUGCAGCCAUGCCGCGUGUGUGAAGAAGGCCUUCGGGUUGUAAAGCACUUUCAGCGGGGAGGAAGGCGUUAAGGUUAAUAACCUUGGCGAUUGACGUUACCCGCAGAAGAAGCACCGGCUAACUCCGUGCCAGCAGCCGCGGUAAUACGGAGGGUGCAAGCGUUAAUCGGAAUUACUGGGCGUAAAGCGCACGCAGGCGGUCUGUCAAGUCGGAUGUGAAAUCCCCGGGCUCAACCUGGGAACUGCAUUCGAAACUGGCAGGCUAGAGUCUUGUAGAGGGGGGUAGAAUUCCAGGUGUAGCGGUGAAAUGCGUAGAGAUCUGGAGGAAUACCGGUGGCGAAAGGCGGCCCCCUGGACAAAGACUGACGCUCAGGUGCGAAAGCGUGGGGAGCAAACAGGAUUAGAUACCCUGGUAGUCCACGCCGUAACGAUGUCGAUUUGGAGGUUGUGCCCUUUGAGGCGUGGCUUCCGGAGCUAACGCGUUAAAUCGACCGCCUGGGGAGUACGGCCGCAAGGUUAAAACUCAAAUGAAUUGACGGGGGCCCGCACAAGCGGUGGAGCAUGUGGUUUAAUUCGAUGCAACGCGAAGAACCUUACCUGGUCUUGACAUCCACAGAACUUUCCAGAGAUGGAUUGGUGCCUUCGGGAACUGUGAGACAGGUGCUGCAUGGCUGUCGUCAGCUCGUGUUGUGAAAUGUUGGGUUAAGUCCCGCAACGAGCGCAACCCUUAUCCUUUGUUGCCAGCGGUCCGGCCGGGAACUCAAAGGAGACUGCCAGUGAUAAACUGGAGGAAGGUGGGGAUGACGUCAAGUCACCAUGGCCCUUACGACCAGGGCUACACACGUGCUACAAUGGCAUAUACAAAGAGAAGCGACCUCGCGAGAGCAAGCGGACCUCAUAAAGUAUGUCGUAGUCCGGAUUGGAGUCUGCAACUCGACUCCAUGAAGUCGGAAUCGCUAGUAAUCGUAGAUCAGAAUGCUACGGUGAAUACGUUCCCGGGCCUUGCACACACCGCCCGUC